GACGAACGCUGGCGGCGUGCUUAACACAUGCAAGUCGAACGGAAAGGCCCUGCUUUUGUGGGGUGCUCGAGUGGCGAACGGGUGAGUAACACGUGAGUAACCUGCCCUUGACUUUGGGAUAACUUCAGGAAACUGGGGCUAAUACCGGAUAGGAGCUCCUGCUGCAUGGUGGGGGUUGGAAAGUUUCGGCGGUUGGGGAUGGACUCGCGGCUUAUCAGCUUGUUGGUGGGGUAGUGGCUUACCAAGGCUUUGACGGGUAGCCGGCCUGAGAGGGUGACCGGCCACAUUGGGACUGAGAUACGGCCCAGACUCCUACGGGAGGCAGCAGUGGGGAAUAUUGCACAAUGGGCGGAAGCCUGAUGCAGCAACGCCGCGUGCGGGACGACGGCCUUCGGGUUGUAAACCGCUUUCGCCUGUAACGAAGCGUGAGUGACGGUAAUGGGUAAAGAAGCACCGGCUAACUACGUG
rnacentral:rRNA from 1 species